GCGGAUGUAGUUCAAUGGUAGAACUUCAGCCUUCCAAGCUGACUAUGCGGGUUCGAUUCCCGUCAUCCGCUCCA
rnacentral:tRNA from 14 species